UUGGGCAUCGUCCUGCAAACUGAAAGGUCGCCAGUUUGAUUCCUGGUCAGGGCACAUGCCUGGGUUGUGGCCCCAGUCACCAGCUGGGGCCAUGCCAGAGGCAACCAAUUGAUGUUUC